rnacentral:rRNA from 1 species
CAGUCGCCGCGGGAAUACGAAGGGGGCUAGCGUUGUUCGGAUUUAUUGGGCGUAAAGGGCGCGUAGGCGGGCGAUUAAGUCAGAGGUGAAAUCCCAAGGCUCAACCUUGGAAAUGCCUUUGAUACUGGUUGUCUUGAGUCCGGGAGAGGUGAGUGGAACUGCGAGUGCAGAGGUGAAAUUCGUAGAUAUUCGCAAGAACACCAGUGGCGAAGGCGGCUCACUGGCCCGGAACUGACGCUGAGGCGCGAAAGCGUGGGGAGCAAACAGGAUUAGAUACCCCUGUAGUCCCUGUCUCUUAUAC